ACAGCUUAGUUGGAAUAUUGUCUUUUUCGGAAUGAGGGCUAAAGCGGAAUUUUAUGUGCAUGGAAACGUAGUCAGUGUGGCCAUGAUGCACUUUUUCACA